AUUGAACGCUGGCGGCAGGCUUAACACAUGCAAGUCGAGCGGAGAUGAGGUGCUUGCACCUUAUCUUAGCGGCGGACGGGUGAGUAAUGCUUAGGAAUCUGCCUAUUAGUGGGGGACAACAUUCCGAAAGGAAUGCUAACACCGCAUACGCCCUACGGGGGAAAGCAGGGGAUCUUCGGACCUUGCGCUAAUAGAUGAGCCUAAGUCGGAUUAGCUAGUUGGUGGGGUAAAGGCCUACCAAGGCGACGAUCUGUAGCGGGUCUGAGAGGAUGAGCCGCCACACUGGGACUGAGACACGGCCCAGACUCCUACGGGAGGCAGCAGUGGGGAAUAUUGGACAAUGGGCGGAAGCCUGAUCCGGCCAUGCCGCGUGUGUGAAGAAGGCCUUUUGGUUGUAAAGCACUUUAAGCGAGGAGGAGGCUACCUGGAUUAAUACUCUAGGAUAGUGGACGUUACUCGCAGAAUAAGCACCGGCUAACUCUGUGCCAGCAGCCGCGGUAAGAC
rnacentral:rRNA from 1 species